AGGUCUUGACAUCCAACUAACGAAGUAGAGAUACAUUAGGUGCCCUUCGGGGAAAGUUGAGACAGGUGGUGCAUGGUU
rnacentral:rRNA from 1 species